GGACAUCGCCAUUGGCCAUUCUAGCGCGUCCGCCAUUAUCUUCAAGCCAGUUUCUUCCACCUGGGCAUUGAUUAUUGGGGUGAGAACAAGAAAGAUAGUGAAGAAGAAGAGAGAGAGAGUAGUAGCAGCAGCCAUGGAGAACACAGAGUGGAAGCUGAACGAAACAAGAGAGUAGCCUAAACGGAAAAGGAAAAACAAUAAAUCACAUGGAGAUAAGAGAGAGAGAGAGAGAAAGAGA
rnacentral:misc_RNA from 1 species